CGAUUAGGUCGGGAACUCAAAGGAGACUGCCAGUGAUAAACUGGAGGAAGGUGGGGAUGACGUCAAGUCAUCAUGGCCCUUACGACCAGGGCUACACACGUGCUACAAUGGCGCAUACAAAGAGAAGCGACCUCGCGAGAGCAAGCGGACCUCAUAAAGUGCGUCGUAGUCCGGAUUGGAGUCUGCAACUCGACUCCAUGAAGUCGGAAUCGCUAGUAAUCGUGGAUCAGAAUGCCACGGUGAAUACGUUCCCGGGCCUUGUACACACCGCCCGUCACACCAUGGGAGUGGGUUGCAAAAGAAGUAGGUAGCUUAACCUUCGGGAGGGCGCUUACCACUUUGUGAUUCAUGACUGGGGUGAAGUCGUAACAAGGUAACCGUAGGGGAACCUG
rnacentral:rRNA from 1 species